CCUACGGGAGGCAGCAGUGAGGAAUAUUGGUCAAUGGGCGCGAGCCUGAACCAGCCAAGUAGCGUGAAGGAUGACUGCCCUACGGGUUGUAAACUUCUUUUAUAAAGGAAUAAAGUGAGGCACGUGUGCCUUUUUGUAUGUACUUUAUGAAUAAGGAUCGGCUAACUCCGUGCCAGCAGCCGCGGUAAUACGGAGGAUCCGAGCGUUAUCCGGAUUUAUUGGGUUUAAAGGGAGCGUAGAGGGGUGGUUAAGUCAGUUGUGAGAGUUUGCGGCUCAACCGGAAAAUUGGAAUUGAUACUGGGAGUGUGGAGUACAGUUGAGGGAGGCGGAAUGCGUGGUGUAGCGGUGGUAUGCUUAG
rnacentral:rRNA from 1 species